UUACGACCAUAUCACGUUGAAACACCGGUUCUCGUACAAUCACCGAAGUUAAGCGAAGUCGAGCCUGGUCAGUACUUAGAUGGGUGACCGCUUCGGAAUACCAGGUGCUGUAAG